rnacentral:rRNA from 1 species
CCUACGGGAGGCAGCAGUGGGGAAUUUUGGACAAUGGGGGAAACCCUGAUCCAGCCAUUCCGCGUGAGUGAAGAAGGCCUUCGGGUUGUAAAGCUCUUUUGUCCGGAGCGAAACGGCGAGCGUGAACAUCGCUCGCUACUGACGGUACCGGAAGAAUAAGCACCGGCUAACUACGUGCCAGCAGCCGCGGUAAU